UGGGGCAUAGCCAAGCGGUAAGGCAAGGGACUUUGACUCCCUCAUGCGUGAGUUCGAAUCUCGCUGCCCCAGCCU
rnacentral:tRNA from 1 species